CCGGGGAGCAGGCGCUCCAGCAGCCUGCAGAGGACCACCCCAUCCUUCAGCGACGCCUGCAGAAAGCCCUCCGGGUCCGAGAUGGUUUUUUUGGGCGACUCCAGCACCCCCAGAGUGAUGAGCCACGUAACGGUGGCGGGGACAGGCUGAAAACGAGACGUUUGUUUCGCUUUGCUACCUUGCAAGCCGGUCAUGACGGAACAGAAAUGAUGGUUCCAUCUGAAGCCAUAUGGGUCUGAAUCGGGAGGAACCGACUCUCCGGAGCGCGGCGCCGACCUCACCGGCAGGGCAGGGGCCUGCGCGACUCUGCUCUAGACGGACGGUGACGCUUCAGACCCUGCCGGGGGAAGGUCAAGGAAACGGCGUGGCCUGAAGUGGGGCUGUGCAGAGGGCCGGGCCGGGCCGGGCCGGGCGCCUGGCUGCGUCUCGGGGACGCCGAAGAUCUGGGCUGUGAAAGCAGCAGGCCGAACCUGGAGAGCCCAGACGGCAAGUGUCGCGUCAUGCGCGAGCUUCCUCGAACAACUGAUGACACGCACACAUUGACAUGCGAGGAAGAAAUGGAGCCUCUUCUUAAAAGGACACGAGUCUCCACUCACUCCAUCCACUGUCCCUGGGCGCUCCCCCAGUUUGCUCGCUAUGACCCGCGGGCAGUUUAACAAGCAAAGCACUUAGUCUAUGCCAGGCACAUACAUUAAUCCAUUCAAUGACAAAGGCUAGAAAGCAUAUAAAGCUUCCAAAAAUAAUCAGAGGCUUAAGUCGUCUCCCCCUGCCUUCUGC
rnacentral:lncRNA from 1 species